CUGGGAUGAGUUUUUCAUCAACUCUGCUGACAGAGAGAGCUGCAAUGUUGUGAACAUUGGUGCAAGUAAAUUUUCGUGAAGCUGCAAAUGUUUCUCCUUCGCAGAGGCUAGUGAAGAUUAGAAGGAGAAAACAGCGGAUUCAGGAUGAUAUGUUCUUGGAGCUUCAGAUGUCCUCCCACGCUGACAGAGCACAGCAGAAUGUGUGGAGGCAGUCAAUUUCAGAGCGCAAAAAAGUGCAAUAUGAACGAGAGGAGAGGUGGCGGUCAGAAGAGAGCAAGUGGCGGGCUGAAGAGGAUAGGUGAUGUCAGCUUGCUGACAGAAGGCAAGAGUCGAUGCUCCGGCUGCUGGAGCAUCAAACUGAAAUUCUCCAGUGUAUGGUUGAGCUGCAGGAAAGGCAGCAGGAGCAGAGACCGCUGCUACAGCCCCUGUGUAACCAACAGCCCACCUCCCCAAGUUCCAUAGCGUCCUCACCCAGACACCCAAGAACACGGUGGGGGGGCCUCCAGCCACCCAGCCACUCCACCCCAGAUGAUUGCCCAAGCAUCAGAAGGCUGGCCUUCAAUAAGAGUUGAAGUUUUAAAGUUUUAAAGUUUUAAACUGCAGUGUGUCCAUGUCCUUCCCUCCUCCCCCACCCCAC